ACCGCCUUCAGGCGUUUGGACUCAGUGGAGGUUGUGAGUGCCCAGCAGUGUGGCCUGAAUCUCCGUGGGGUUUAGGGAGACGAAAGGACCCCAGAUCGACGUCCCCUCGUUCCCACUUUGGGGAUCGGCGCUCUGGCUGUUUCGUGAAGGAGAGAGAGGUUGAUUCCAUACCCUGGCUAUUGUGAAUAAUGCUGCAGUGAACAUGGGAGUACAUACAUCUGUUUGAGGAACUCAGAGUGGUUUUCCAGAUGGGAAUCACAUUGCUCUCUGUCCCUGAGAUCUUGCUGGAGACAGGGCUACUCAGUCCCUCUUUGCCAGGUAAUCUGUUCCAGAAGAAACAUGUGUCGUUCUGACUGAGCCCCUGCCUGUCUGUCACCUUAAGAGCCAGUCAAUUCAUAUGGUCCCCAUAUCAAAGUCUCCUGUGCCCAGAGAGAGGAUUUCAUUUCAACCAUCACCAUCACCACCAUCAUCAUCAUCACCAAGAGAUGUUGUUGAAUUGAUACUGGAAAAGCAGUUUCUAUUGAGCCCCCAAAUGAAGAGUGAGUGCAGAUGAAGAGGAGGCAGGACUCACAAGCCCUUGAACUUUAUUCCAGAUCUGUUAGCACCUACAGGACCCUGCACCAGGAUUUCAUCUGUACUAUCAGCUUCUUCAAAGAGAGAGAGGUUGUUGAAAUAUUUUCAGUCCAAGAUUGGUUGCAUUCAUGUAUGCAGAAUCCACAGAUACAAAAGGUCAACUGUACUUAUUUAUUUAAUUCUCACCACAACCUAUGAGAAGGAUCUAUUGUUGCCUGACUUUAGAAAAAAGGAAACUGAGGUACAGUGAAGACAGAGUUAGCAAGUGCCAAGGCUUAGAUGUGAACACAGGCUGUGUGGCUCCUGAGUAAAUUCAUCUAUCCAGUGUGUGCUGCUGCCUCUCAAAUGAUGAGAAAAAUCUUGCUUUUUCAGGCCGGGCACAGUGGCUCACGCCUGUAAUCCCAGUUACAGGGAUCACCUCGUGAUCUCAGUGAUAGAUAACACCAGGUAAGCAAAGUGUGGAGUUUGCCUAAUGGCUCCUGGACUGUUUGGUAUAUUAAUAUAUUACAGGAAAGCUGGGCACAGUGGCUCACGCCUGUAAUCCCAGCACAUUGGGAGGCCUAGGCGGGCGGAACACUUGAGGUCAGGAGUUUGAGACCAGCCUGCCAACAUGGCAAAACCCUGUCUCUACUGAAAAUAUAAAAAGUAGCCAGGCAUGGUGACGCACGCCUGUAAUCCCAGCUGCUUCUCAGGUGCUGAGGCAGGAGAAUUGCUUGAACCUGGGAGGCGGAGGUUGCAGUGAGCCAAGAUUGCACCACUGCACUCCAGCCUGGGCAACAGAGCAAUACUCCAUCUAAAAAAAAAGAAGAAGAAAAA
rnacentral:lncRNA from 1 species